GAAACACGAAGUCAUGCCUGAAGAACAGUUAUCUCUUUUCCAGAAUGCUAACAUAAUUCCUAGAGCACAAAGAACAAAAGCUUUCUUCUGACAGGGUCUGUAGGUACAUUUUGCAGGGAUCAUGAGACAGGGGAAUCUAUCCCAUUUAGGUGGCUGGCAGUUGAAAGGGAGCUACUCUGAGUGGCGCAAGGUCCAUGGAUCAACGAGCUUCAGCACUGGAAACGUAGUCAUUUGAUGACUGGAGAGAACAUCAUUGAAGGAAAUCGCUAUAACCCAAAUUGCCAAUGCACAGAUGCCUUAUAACUUUGGACCACUGUGAAGGAACAGAAACGCAAGCCAUGCCAUCAAGAACAUACAAGUUUGUUUGAGAAAGACCUACUACCCUCUAAUAGCAUGUGGAAAAAAAGAACCCGUCUUUCCAUCUCCAUGGUAACUUAUUUCUUACAAGCACUUUUAAUGCAAUUUGUUUUCUGUUCUUGUAGCUUCUUUACUGGUUUUAGAAUAGAUCAGUCAAGGCUGAAGUGCUGGUAACAAACCAGAAGAGAAACUAUGUCUUUGGCUACAGGUGACGAGUUGAAUUUUUGUCCCCUCCAAGGAGGUACCUGUGUUAUCAUCACUAAGCUGAAUAUAUGCUGAAUGAUCGUUGACCUCUGCAGAAAGCAAAGGCAAAUUACCUCCAGAAGACUGCAAAAGGGGAUCGACGUUGCUCCAGCCUCUCUCCUUGCAGAUGGUGGCCUUCUCACCGCAUUACUGUCCACAUCGGCUACACCAGCCUGACCUGCACUACACAGCCUUGUGCAACAAGCCAGCCGGAUCCCAUACGUCAGCUGGGCACUAUGCAGGAGGGUGCUGACGGAGAGCCACGCGGAGCAGAGGAUGCUCGCGGGUCAUGGGUGCUGUUCCACCUGCUGUACGUACAGAGAUCCAGGCUUUCCUGGCACCUGAAAACAAAGGGCUGCUUUGAAAACUAACCCUAAAACUCAGAUCUUGAUCCUUUCUGCUCAUUACAACAUCCACUGGGGUGGAUGGGGUGGAAAAACAGGAGUGUUGAUACUAGUCUUCCUAGCUAAGUGUAAUAAAUGUAGUCCAUCCCCAGUGGCCUUUCCCA
rnacentral:lncRNA from 1 species